UUUCCGUAGGUGAACCUGCGGAAGGAUCAUUAAAUAAUUUAGAUGGCCUCCUAGAACUUGUUCUAGUUAGGUUCAUUCUUUUUUACUGUGAACUGUUUUAAUUUUCAGCGUUUGAGGAAUGUCUUUUAGUCAUAGGGAUAGACUAUUAGAAUGUUAACCGAGCUGAAGUCAGGUUUAGACCUGGUAUCCUAUUAAUUAUUUACCAAAAGAAUUCAGUAUUAUUAUUGUAACAUAAGCGUAAAAAACUUAUAAAACAACUUUUAACAACGGAUCUCUUGGUUCUC
rnacentral:misc_RNA from 1 species